ACGGAAGGCAGCAGUGGGGAAUAUUGGGCAAUGGACGAAAGUCUGACCCAGCGACGCCGCGUGAGGGAAGAAGAUCUUCGGAUUGUAAACCUUAGUCAACAGGGAAGAAGAAAGUGACGGUACCUGUGGAGGAAGCCACGGCUAACUACGUGCCAGCAGCCGCGGUAAUACGUAGGUGGCGAGCGUUAUCCGGAUUUACUGGGUGUAAAGGGUGUGUAGGCGGGCGUGCAAGUCAGAUGUGAAAACUAUGGGCUUAACCCAUAGCCUGCAUUUGAAACUGUAUGUCUUGAGAGUGGGAGAGGUAAACGGAAUUCCUAGUGUAGCGGUGAAAUGCGUAGAUAUUAGGAGGAACACCAGUGGCGAAGGCGAUCUACUGGACGAUAACUGACGCUGAGGCGCGAAAGCGUGGGGAGCAAACAGGAUUAGAUACCCUGGUA
rnacentral:rRNA from 1 species